UUUUUAUUAUGUAAAUAAAUUGACUUUUCAGUUAAAAGUCCAGUACAAAGGUUACUAUAGAACAAUAAGGAUAUGUUGUAACAUGCAGUUGGAAACUCCCCAUAACAAUAACUUCUCUGUCCUGGCAGCUUAUCAUAGUCACAUGAUUGUUGAGCAAUGGAAUGUUGUUCGAUACUGCACUGCUUCUACAUUUGUAAGGUUGUAUAGGUAAGGUUUAAAUUUGCCAGUCUUUUUAUUUUUAUUUUUUUUGUUUUUAAAGUCAGUUUUAGACCACCACAGUUAAAACGACAUUUAAAUACAGUUUUAAAUGAUUUCACCGUACAAGGCACAUCUGUAUUAUAUCUUCAUAAAUCCAUGGGCCAUAACAUGAAAUAGCCAUGUUUUCCAGAUUAAUUCCUCCUUACAUGUACAAAGCUGAUUAAUGCAUAUUUAUGUAUUGGGUCUGAACCACAUUUGACUCUUAUUGCAAUUCAUAAAGCAGUUCUUGACUAAUAAACAGUGUUUAUUGUAGCAAACACUUCCUGGACUAAAUUUCGAGAACCUGUUCACCCACAAUGUUUCUCUUUCUUUGAAAUGACUCAUUUCUAAAGAAAGGAAACUUAAGUAGAAGGCUUGUCAGGGCAUAUUUCAGUGGUUAGCGUGCAGCUAUCUUACCUGUAAAGCAUUCUUUCACUUUUACUUAAUGCUGAAAAUAGGGUUGGGCCCAUACAUGCUUGCGAUGCCAAUUGGAUAGACAUGCCCCAUAGCUGAAAUGGGUGUUACGUUCUACCUGACAAAAGAAGUCUGUUCCUGUCUUUCCACAUUUACAUUGUCAGAAGCUGCUGUCUUCAAAACAGGUGUAAAUGAGAUCUAACGAUCCAGCUAGGGAAUCAACCUUCCACAUCAUUUUCAGACUGCAGAGCUGAUCCAACUGAGGAAAUAUGAAUAGCUUAAUGUUUCCAAGACUUGCAUCUCUUUCUUUAUCAUUACUCAUCUUCACAAAUGGUGUGUUUGGUGUUGAGACAGAGGAUGUGUCUGUGAUGGAGGGAGAUUCUGUCACACUACACACAGGUGUUGUAAAACAGAAAGAUGAUCUGAUAGUAUGGUAUUAUGGACCU